GAAAAUGCGAAAUGCAGUGUGAAUUGCAGAACCACGAAUCAUCGGAUCUUUGAACGCAUCUGGCGCCGAUAUACUCGGCAUACUUGUUUCAGUGUGCUUAAACAACUAACACCUAAAUGUGGGAGAAGUUCUCCUAUAAAGUAAAUGCUCCUUGCAGCUGUCACAUUUCUAUGUGAGCUACUAGGAGAUCAACGACUUAAUGUCACCUGAAAUCAAGUAAGAUGACCCGCUGGACUUAA
rnacentral:misc_RNA from 1 species